GAUAAGAUUUUAAUUAUUAGAUUUUAUAUUUUAGGUUUAUUUUGAUAAAAUAUUUUCUUUUUAUUAUUAUUUAUGAAAAAAUUAUUUUUAUUAUAGAGUAUUAGUAUUGAGAAAGAAAUUUUAAAUUUUAUUAAAAGAAGAGUUAAGUUUUUGUACCUUGUGUAUCAGGGUUGAUUAAUUAAAAUUUUUGAAUAGAUGAAAUUUCUCGAAUCUAAAAGAGUUAUGAUUAUAUAAUUUUUACUGUAAAAAAAUUAUUAUGAAUAUGGUCAUUGAAGUGAAAUGUUAGUCGUUUUUAGGUAUAUCUAGUUUUUAAAGAAUUAAAUUAAAUUUUUUUUUUAUUUUAAUAUAUAAAUUAAAUUAUUAAUUUGAUAUUAGUAGAAUAGUAUAUUUUUAGGGAUGAGCUUAAAUAUAUAUUUAUAUAAUUAAUUAGUUACUAGGAUAAUUUAAUAGAUAGAAUUGUAAGUUUUUAAUUUUUAGAGUGUUUUAUUACUUAUUAAGUUUAAAAUUAAAUUUUUAUUUAAUUUAUAUUUUUUAUUUAAAUAUAAAUUUUAAUUUAAAGUAUUUAGGAAUUAUGAUUAAAUUAGUAUAAAUUAAUUUUUAUUAUAUUUUAAUUAUUAAGGUUAAUAAAAGGAAUUCGGCAAAUAUUAUUUUCACCUGUUUAUUAAAAACAUGGUUUUUUGAUUUUAAUUUAAGAUUAGGCCUGCUCAAUGAUUGAUAAAUUAAAUAGCUGCAGUAUACUGACUGUACAAAGGUAGCAUAAUCAUUAGUUUUUUAAUUGAAAGCUUGUAUGAAGGGUUUGAUGAAAAAAAGACUGUCUCUUUUUAAUUUAAUUAGAACUUUAUUUUUAAGUAAAAAAGCUUAAAUUGAAAUAGAAGACGAGAAGACCCUAUAGAGUUUUAUAAUUGAAUUUAUUUGUAAGGUUUAGUAUUAAAAAUUAAGGUGGAGGUAUAUUAUUUAAUUGGGGUGAUUGAAAAAUUAAAUUAACUUUUUUUUAAAAUUUUUUAUUUGACAUUUGUAUGUGAUUAUAUGAUCUUUUAUUAUUGAUUAUAAGAUAAAUUACCUUAGGGAUAACAGCGUAAUUUUUUUUUAGAGUUCAAAUUAAAAAAAAAGAUUGCGACCUCGAUGUUGGAUUAAAAUUUAUUGUUGGUGGAGAAGCUAAUAUAUUAGGUCUGUUCGACCUUUAGAAUUUUACAUGAUCUGAGUUUAAACCGGUGUGAGCCAGGUUGGUUUCUAUCUCUAUUAAGUUAAAAUAUUUUAGUACGAAAGGACCAAAUAUUUAAUAGAUUAAUUUUUAUUAUGAUUAAGAUUA
rnacentral:rRNA from 1 species